rnacentral:piRNA from 1 species
UGCUGAAAAAUGAAACAAUUA